UACGUAAGGUGCAAGCGUUAAUCGGAAUUACUGGGCGUAAAGCGUGCGCAGGCGGCUAUGCAAGACAGAUGUGAAAUCCCCGGGCUCAACCUGGGAACUGCAUUUGUGACUGCAUAGCUAGAGUACGGUAGAGGGGGAUGGAAUUCCGCGUGUAGCAGUGAAAUGCGUAGAUAUGCGGAGGAACACCCGAUGGCGAAGGCAGCCCCCUGGGAUAACACUGACGCUCAUGCACGAAAGCGUGGGGAGCAAACAGG
rnacentral:rRNA from 1 species